rfam:Bacillus manliponensis strain JCM 15802 contig3, whole genome shotgun sequence.
UGGGCAGUAUCGAAAUGAACUGCACCACAAUAAAUGAAGUGAAAUGAAAAUAUGUGGAUUCUGCCUUGAUCCAAAAACAGGACUAGGACAGAGGG